rnacentral:lncRNA from 1 species
UGGAAAUUCUUUUGUGGAAAAAGAGUAGGAUUCCAUACAAAGGAUUAUUUACGAGACCAAUUUCAUCACUAAGUAAUAGAAAAAUACUUACAAUUACUCAUUAUGAGACCUAUGUGGGCUAGCUUGUGAAUUUUUAUUAUUAUGAGCCUGGAAGAAUCUAAAUUAUCAAUUACAAAGACUAACCAUCUACAACAUCACCAAAUGAAAACAGAUAGCUAAAUAUGAAGCAAAGAGUGCAAUAGAUAUGCAUAAACUAAUAUUUUUAGUUUUGCACCGAUCACAAUAAUGCACUACAGUCCUAGACGACAAGAGAUGCCAAUAAAAUUUUCAAUGUCAUAAGAACAACAUCAAGCCUGCGAAGAAACAUAUACUGCCCCAUACUUAAAGCUGUACUUAAGCACUUAAUUUUCCAACCAUUUUUCAUAUCAGACAGCGAUACGAAUUAAAUCAGUACAAAACUUAAAUCACAUUCUUAUGAAGAACAAAGUUCAAUCACACCACAAAUUCAGCAAUUAAAAUUUUAAACAUUCCAAAAAUCAACUUGAAAUAGCAGAUAUGGAAAAACAAGAAACUGGAGAAAAGAGAAAAAAAGAAGCUAAUAGACUUAAAAGAAUACAAGAAUUGAAAGCAUGAACAUAGUUGAGUUUUCAAUUCCUUGAUAUGCCUGUCUCUUCCAUACAAACAUGACUCAUAUCCAAUUGGUAAUCCCAAGAUCAAGAGGAGCACCUGAUUACACCAAAAGCAACAGAGUAGAAAAUAAGUUUGAGGCUGGAAUGAAGCAACAACAAUCAGAACAAGAGUAGCAGAAGCAAUGAUAGUAGAACCAAUAAUUCCCUCAAACCACACCAGUUCUCGAAUCCGGAAAUUAUGCAAUAAACCAAUUAGGUUGACAACAAACUUUAAAACUUCUCUUUUUGAUUGCUUUUUCUUAUGUUUUUAGAGUAUUUUUAGCUAUUAAAACUUAGAUUUGGAGCUUAGAAUUCAUAGCAGUUGUAUCCCUUCUUUUUCUGUCUCAGAUCUCCCUCUAAAAAUGAGUGAAAUGAGCUUUUAUAGCAGGAUUCUAGGGCAGCAAGACCUGAUUUUCUUAAUUCAUUCUCACCUCUCUUCAAUUCUAUUGUUGUUCAAUUGAAUCCCCAAUCUUUAACCCAUUUGUUUAAUCAGCCUAUUCCCCAAUUUCCUAGAACCUUCCUAGGUAAUUAUGAAAGAUUCCUUCAAUCCAAUUCUCCUAAAUACCCUUUAAACAUCUGUUAUAUACCUUUCAAAAAUACCAGAAAUCUGGGUCAUAUAGCCAAACAUGCUCAAUACUCUCUUUAGGCUUUUGCACUAACAAGAUCAAUUCUGAAUCCAACCCAAUAAUCAGAAACAAGUUCAAUGGAGGUUUAAACAAACAACCUCUGAAUUAAAUGGAAAAGUAGAUUUUAAAAAAGCACUCAAAGGACGGCAAUACAUUCACAAAUGCGAUUAAACUAAUUGUUAAGCUAUCGCUGCUGGAGAAUCAAUUAUGAACUAGAAACAACUUAGACAUAAAUUUGAUAUCAUAUGAGAGGUUAUGGAAAGAGGAACAAAGGUAUACCAGCCAAUUUGCUAAAGAUUCUGGUGACCCGAAGAAAUCAACAACGAGUCGAUUACAAAUCCGACGAACAAGGAUAUCGUCUAAUAAUGGAAAUUGUAACAUGAUCACUGGCCGGAAUUUCUUCAACGGCUAGUGCUCCAUGUUACAAUCCUCAAUAUCUGGCAAGAAGAAGAUGAAGCAGAGGCUCAAAGUAUUUUAGACCAUCAAUGGUUGCUCGCCCAGAAUCCAACCACCACAAGACUAGUUGGAACCAAAGCCAAUUGACUCCUCACAUCAAAAAAUAAUCGAUUAAGGUAUGUUCAACAUCAAUAAGAGUCCAGAUUAGGAGGAAAUUAGAAAAAGGGGCGAAAGAGACUUUAUUGUUAUCCUUAGAUCUCUAAUUCAGAGAAGAUGCGUGAUUUUUGGAAGGAAAUAGCGGUGGAUUUGGAGUAAAGGGACAAUAGGGGUUAUGUGGUCAAGAUUUGAGGGAGUUUGGAGACCAACCACCGCCACAAGCGAUUCGGUGGGUGGAGGACGGUGGUGAGAGAUAAGGUGUAGGGGAGAUGAUAGAACAGGGUCUUAGGUUGUACCUGGGGCAUUUGGACAGCUUUAAACAAAUGAAAUGAAGCAUUUCUGGGCAUUGGAUGAAAG